rnacentral:rRNA from 1 species
AUUGAACGCUGGCGGCAUGCCUUACACAUGCAAGUCGAGCGCGAAAGGGGGCAACCCCGAGUAGAGCGGCGGACGGGUGAGUAACGCAUCGGAACGUGCCCAGUAGUGGGGGACAACCUCGAGAAAUCGAGGCUAAUACCGCAUACGACCCACGGGUGAAAGCGGGGGACCGCAAGGCCUCGCGCUAUUGGAGCGGCCGAUGUCCGAUUAGCUAGUUGGCGGGGUAAGAGCCCACCAAGGCGACGAUCGGUAGCUGGUCUGAGAGGACGACCAGCCACACUGGGACUGAGACACGGCCCAGACUCCUACGGGAGGCAGCAGUGGGGAAUUUUGGACAAUGGGGGCAACCCUGAUCCAGCCAUGCCGCGUGCGGGAAGAAGGCCUCGGUUGUAACG